rnacentral:rRNA from 1 species
UACGUAGGGGGCUAGCGUUGUCCGGAAUCAUUGGGCGUAAAGCGCGUGUAGGCGGUCCGGUAAGUCCGCUGUGAAAGUCGGGGGCUCAACCCUCGAAUGCCGGUGGAUACUGUCGGGCUAGAGUGCGGAAGAGGCGAGUGGAAUUCCUGGUGUAGCGGUGAAAUGCGCAGAUAUCAGGAGGAACACCAAUUGCGAAGGCAGCUCGCUGGGACGGUACUGACGCUGAGGCGCGAAAGCGUGGGGAGCAAACAGG